UUUGGGGUCCCUAGGCAACGGGAUUGUUGGGGGCCCUAGGGCAUUUUUUGGCCUUUUACUAAAAUGUGUGUGUGUGUGUGUCUGUGUGUGUGUAUGUUUUUUCACGCUGCCCAGUGGUGUUUUUCAGAAUCACUAACCAUUAAACCAGGGGUAGGGAACCUAUGUCUCGAGGGCCCUUGAGGCCGUUUUAUCCAGCCCCUGAUAUCAUUAUAAUGUUUUGCAACUUCACAUGAAAUAGGCCUAUGACAUAUUUUGCAGGCCUAAAGGAAUCUUAGAAAUUACAUUUCCAAUGCAAUUAAGUUAUAUUCAGGGGACCUAGAAAAGGUGGGGACUGUUUUAAAGGUGUCUACCUUUAAAGAUGUCUAUAUGUCUAUAUAGGCCUAAAGGUGUCUAUAUAGGCCUAAAUUUUAUGGGGAAAUCCUGAUUUGUGUUCAUAGUACGGCCCCCGGAGGAUUUUAUGACCAUGGUAGGAAUUUGAAGUGGCCCCUCGAAUGAAAAAGGUUCCCCACCCCUGCAUUAAACCUUUCUACUAGCCACAGCUUUGCUGUCAGUACAUUUUAUUAUGAUACUAUAAGCUCAGAAAUUAAGUUGAUCAAACAAUUCGAUCUGUGCUAUAAACAUUUAAAUGAACCUACAGAAUAGGCUAUCAAAAUAGAAUCAUCUGAAUGAUCUUUCUUGGACAUACAUUUUGAAGUGACCCUUCGAAUUAAAAAGGUUCCUCAGCUGCUUUUGAGGAAAAACAUCAAUGUGCUUGGCCACUCUGGUUUUUAAAUGGUAUUCUGAACUAAAGCAAGGAUUGUUCAAGUUAGUUGAAAAUAGACCGUCUCUGGUUAAAUUAGUUCUACACCAAGCCUUUAGGUGGCAGUAAAACUAAUUGGCACAAUGCGAAUUCCACACACAAGCCACAAAGAAGCCAUCAGCCGCGGUCAACAACGCCUUCCUGAUUGAACAGAACCACGCGCUGUCUGUGUGGUUUACAAGUUUCUUGGCGAUAUGGGUGAAAAGUUCCUCACAUACCAACGGAAAAUGGGCUUCAUAUACAUGCUGCUGUCUCAUAAUAUGGCGAAGACGAGUCACCUGAAGGCCUAACUCGCCAUAGAAGACUGAAAGAAUUGUCCUGCAGGAUGCUGUGUCCUGCAAUCCUGUGUGCUGUGCUACAGACGCGUGUGGAGGUCAACCCAAAAUGGGCACAGUCUCACCACAGAAGAGUGAAAGAGGAUCCUGGCAGGGAGACGGUAGUGUCCUGCAGAAUGGUGAUGGGCCAAUCUUACAAGAGACCACAGAAAACUGAUAUAGUGAACUAUAGAAACAACAGUGCCUGCUGCAGUAUAACGAGGACACCCUGAGCAGAGAGCUCCAAUAGACCCAGGUCCAGUGUCUUGGCAGGGUGAAAUGGCACUGAUAUGGUGUCCUGCAGGAUGCUGUGUCCUGCAAUCCUGUGUGCUGUGCUACAGACGCGUGUGGAGGUCAACCCAAAAUGGGCACAGUCUCACCACAGAAGAGUGAAAGAGGCUCCCAGAAGUGAGACUGAGUGCCUGUUGCAGUAUGACGAGGACGCAGUGACCAGAGACCUUCAGUAGACCCUGCUGGCAUGAUUGGUGGCUGAAGAACAUGAAAUCAACAGCAAUGUUUAUAAUGUUGUACAUACCUGUAUAGUCUGUAUUAAAAGGCAGUACCUGUA